rnacentral:rRNA from 1 species
GAUGAACGCUGGCGGCGUGCCUAAUACAUGCAAGUCGAGCGAACGGACGAGAAGCUUGCUUCUCUGAUGUUAGCGGCGGACGGGUGAGUAACACGUGGAUAACCUACCUAUAAGACUGGGAUAAAUUCGGGAAACCGGAGCUAAUACCGGAUAAUAUUUUGAACCGCAUGGUUCAAAAGUGAAAGACGGUCUUGCUGUCACUUAUAGAUGGAUCCGCGCUGCAUUAGCUAGUUGGUAAGGUAACGGCUUACCAAGGCAACGAUGCAUAGCCGACCUGAGAGGGUGAUCGGCCACACUGGAACUGAGACACGGUCCAGACUCCUACGGGAGGCAGCAGUAGGGAAUCUUCCGCAAUGGGCGGAAGCCUGACGGAGCAACGCCGCGUGAGUGAUGAAGGUCUUCGGAUCGUAAAACUCUGUUAUUAGGGAAGAACAUAUGUGUAAGUAACUGUGCACAUCUUGACGGUACCUAAUCAGAAAGCCACGGCUAACUACGUG